rnacentral:rRNA from 1 species
GUGUCAGCAGCCGCGGUAAUACGGAGGGUGCAAGCGUUAAUCGGAAUUACUGGGCGUAAAGCGUGCGUAGGCGGUUUGCUAAGUCAGAUGUGAAAGCCCCGGGCUUAACCUGGGAACGGCAUUUGAAACUGGUUAACUUGAGUUUAGUAGAGGGGAGUGGAAUUUCAGGUGUAGCGGUGAAAUGCGUAGAUAUCUGAAGGAACACCAGUGGCGAAGGCGACUCCCUGGACUAGAACUGACGCUGAGGUACGAAAGCGUGGGUAGCAAACAGGAUUAGAUACCCGUGUAGUCC